ensembl:lncRNA
GGGCCUGCAGAGAGGAGGUGGAAGGGCGCGAGGUGUGGCUGGAUUGUUUGAGGGGAGAUGCUUCACCUUUGGCGUCAGCUACUUCUGUGGAGGCAUUUUAAAGUAUCCUGAGUGGGCACGGAGAAAACGAAGUCCGCCACACACCAUGAUAAAAAGGGGAAAGUAGGCUGAAGAGGGAACUGACGCGGCCUGGUGUCACUUUGAGUUGUGCCAAACACUGCCUAGAUGAGGAAACGAGCGGUUGGCUAGUCUUUCCCAGCCCGGCGCCGAAGCCUUUUUUUUUUUUUUUGGCACCUUGGCUCAAGUUCGCGCCACGACUACAAAAAUAGCUCGGAAAUGCGGAACUACAGCGCCUCGUUUUGGUAGAAGUUUUAGGGGACCCAGACUCCACAGUAGCUGGGACAUGUAAUUUUAAUGCUGUUUAGUUUUUGCGCUGGAAUAAUUAAAAUGAGUAGUUUUUCUGUUGGAUAAGUGAUUCCUGAUACAGUAUUAAAUAUCUGAGUUUUAACUGAGUUAAUGAUAGCGAUUGAAUGAUGACUUUUAGAAGACCAAUGAACUGGCCUGCAUGAAUGAACUCAAGAGUAGCUAAAUGAGAAACAUCUAUAUAUUGGAUUAUUAAAUUGACUUCUAUUGUUCUCAACACCUGUUUGUAAAAGGCAGAGCCAUUCUCUUGAGAAGUACUGUUGAAGUCAGUAUUUUGACCUUCGUGAUAUAAGAAUUCAAACUUUGAAAAAAGAAAACCUUUAUACAAUUUAAGGUGUUCAACACAGAAGUGACUUUUAUAUGAUGUUAGAUUGACGACAAAUUGGAAGAUUUAGUCUUCAAAGCCUGUACAAAGUGACUGCUUAAGAAAAAUGCUGAAACUAAGGGCUUUUUCAAACCCUUGGCAGUAAUUUGAUUUAACGUGCCUUCAGUACGUUUAUUCCAUGCAAUGUAAAGUUCUGAGCAAAAUCUCAAAUGAGGAUUUCAUAGAAAUAGUGUUUGGUGUGAUUGGUCUGGAGAUGUCAGCUCUGCUUCUGCUGCUGAACUGUGAACUAGUGUUUUCCUCCUAAGCUUCGGAUUCUAUGUCUCCUACCUCUCCAAGUCUACUGGUUUAUGCAGAUGAUGUUCCUGUCACCACGGCUGGAUGAUGGCAGCUGUAACCCAUUGACCUUUCUAAGCAAACAUGCUAGAAUGCUUGAAGAACCACAACUGCCACUUUCAGGACAGCAGCACACUCUGGAUAGCUAAAGCUUUGACUUCUUUUCUAAGUUCUUACCCAAGAGACUGGAUACGGUUCCCUGCCUUGUACAGCAAGACCACAUCACCCAUCCGUUCUAAAUGAAUAGAUCUUCCAACUGAAGCAGACCCAGUUUUCUGUGGGGCUGAAAUUUCAUCAGGGUGAGACCUUGCUGAGCUUCUCUUUGUAAUGGAGGAGAAGAAGAAGAGGAGGGUGCAGCCUGAGGAAUCGGAUUGCUGACAGAGGAUGAUUCCUCAGAAAACAGCAAGUUCAUCAUGUGCACAAGUGGAAAGCCAUUCCUCUGCUGCAGCACUGUGAUGGGGGUGCAAUGGAGUCAUGUAGUGAGAGUACAUGGAGUAGUCCUCGGAGUGAUCACCAGGAAAGAAUUCUACUUUAUUUUACAAGUUACUGUUAGAUAUUUCCACUUGAGCAGAGUGAUUCAGAUGUUUUAACCUCUUCUAUUGUGCCACCUUGAAAAAUGGACUUUUUUUACACCUUUUUUACAAUGCUAGUGUUUAUUUUUCAACACUAGCAUUGAGUUCCCCAAAACGUUCUCAGCCCCCUUCUUCCUUGCCACCUCCCUCCACAGAGCAUAGAAAGCCAUAAACUUAAUGCCCUUUCUUCUCUUGCCCUAGUAGGGUCAUAUGAUCCAGUUCUGGUAGAACUUUGCCUGGAUUAACUUUUAGGAAAACUUUUAUUUCCUCAUUUAAAAAAAACAGAUAUGGUUGGAAUUCCCAUCGUGGCUCAGCAGAAACAAAUCUGACUAGCAUCCAUGAGGGUGCAGUUUCGAUCCCUGGCCUCACUCAGUGGGUUAAGGAUCCAGCAUUGCCGUGAGCUCUGGUGGAGGUCACAGAUGUGGCUCAGAUCUGGCAUUGCUGUGGCUGUGGCAUAGGCUGGCAGCUACAGCUCUGAUUAGACCCUUAGCCUGGGAAGUCCAUAUGCCACAGGUGCCACCCUAAAAAGAAAAAAAAGAAAGAAAGAAAAGAGAGAGAGAGAGAGAUGAUUAAUGGGGCUUCCUCCUUCCUUUCCUAUUACCUUAAAAAUAAAUAUGGUGUCUGGAUCCAUAACAGCCAUUUUGUGAACAAGCCAAUUCAUCAAAGAUGACAGAAGGAAAAAGAAGAAAUCAGGGUCUUUGAUGACACUACUGAGUCUCUGCAUUUGCCCUGAACAUCUUAACCCUGGGAUUUUCCUUAGUUGAAAAUAAUAAACCUCUAAUUGUUUAA